rnacentral:rRNA from 1 species
GUUACCUACGGGACGCAGCAGUGAGGAAUAUUGGUCAAUGGGCGCAAGCCUGAACCAGCCAAGUCGCGUGAGGGAAGACGGCCCUACGGGUUGUAAACCUCUUUUGCCGGGGAGCAAGCCUGAGCACGUGUGCCCAGGCGGAGAGUACCCGGAGAAAAAGCAUCGGCUAACUCCGUGCCAGCAGCCGCGGUAAUACGGAGGAUGCGAGCGUUAUCCGGAUUUAUUGGGUUUAAAGGGAGCGUAGGCCGGCUUUUAAGUCAGCUGUGAAAGUCCGCGGCUCAACCGUGGAAUUGCAGUUGAAACUG